rnacentral:lncRNA from 1 species
AAGCAGCAACUUCGAAAGGCGAUGUUGGAAAAAGACGGAAAUUUGCCUAGUGGGAUUGGGCCUGGUGGUCUUCUUCUUCAGUUUUCUACUUUCAAUAUUUCGUUCCAAGUACCACGGCUAUCCUUAUAGUUUUUAAUUAAAUGAAGCCAAGUGGGAUUUGCAUAAAGUGAAUGUUUACCAUGAAGAUAAACUGUUCCUGACUUUAUACUAUUUUGAAUUCAUUCAUUUCAUUGUGAUCAGCUAGCUUAUUCUUGUGUACUUUUUUUAAACUGUGGGUUUUCCUAGUAAAUUUAAUUUACAGAAAUCAAUGGUAGCAUUUAGUAAUCUACAAAGGAAAUAUCAAAGUGUUUUUCAAGCCUGUUAUAUUCAGUGUGUGCCACAGGAUU